UCCAUAAGUUACUUUCAAUUGAACCAAAUAUAACAUGUCCUAAACUUCACAGUGAGACUGCUGUUUCACAUGACAGCCAUAUUCCAGAUUAAUGCAACCUGACAGCAUGCUCUAUUUUUCUUUUUCUUUUUCUUUUUCUUUUCUGAGACAGAGUUUUUAGCUCUUGUUGCCCAGGCUGGAGUGCAAUGGCACGAUCUCGGCUCACUACAACCUCUGCCUCCCGGGUUCAAGCGAUUGUCCUGCCUCAGCCUCCUGAGUAGCUGGGAUUAUGGGCACCCACCACCACGCCCAACUAAUUUUUGUAUUUUUAGUAGAGACGGGGUUUAACCACAUUGGCCAGGCUGGUCUCGAACUCCUGACCUCAGGUGAUCCUCCCGCCCCGGCCUCCCAAAGUGCUGGGAUUACAGGCGUGAGCCACCGGGCGCCUGGUCCCAUGCUCUAUUUUUCAUUCAUUCAUUUCACAAAAGCUAUUAUGAGCCCAGACUGUGCAGCACUGUUCCAGGCUCUUGGCAUCCAAAAGCUAACCAGACCGUGCUCCCUCCCUCAUGUAUUUUACCUUCUUUGGAGGCAGAGGGACAAUAAAUAAGUGCAGAAGUUAACAAACUUUUUCAUAUUGUGAGAAAUGGCAACAUAAUAUGAGCUCAUAUUUUUACAAUCCAGAGUUGCUUUCAUUAAGAAUCUGUGCUUCUCAACCUUGGGUACACUUUGGACUAAUGUAGAAAGCCCUUUUAAAUACUGAUGACUGGUUCCCAUUCCCAGAGAUUCUGGCAUAAUUGGCUAGGUAAAGCCUAGGCAUUGGCCUUUUUUUUUUUUUUUUUUUUUUUUUUUUUUUUUUUUUUUUUGAGACAGCGUCUCCCUCUGUCACCCAGGCUGGAGUGCAGUGGCGCGAUCCUGGCUCACUGCAACCUCCGCCUCCCUGGUUCAAGUGAUUCUCCUGCCUCAGCCUCCCGAGCAGCUGGGAUUACAGGCGCACGCCCGGCUAAUUUUCUUUUUGUUUUUUGUUUGUUUUUUUUUAUUUUAGUAGAGAUGGGGUUUCACCAUGUUGGCCAGG
rnacentral:lncRNA from 1 species